rnacentral:rRNA from 1 species
CACGUAGGGGGCAAGCGUUGUCCGGAUUUAUUGGGCGUAAAGAGCUCGUAGGUGGUUCGGUAAGUCGGGUGUGAAACCUCCAGGCUCAACCUGGAGACGCCACCCGAUACUGCUGUGACUGGAGUCCGGUAGGGGAGCGUGGAAUUCCUGGUGUAGCGGUGAAAUGCGCAGAUAUCAGGAGGAACACCGGUGGCGAAGGCGGUUCUCUGGGCCUUACCUGACGCUGAGGAGCGAAAGCAUGGGGAGCAAACAGG